AUUGAACGCUGGCGGCAUGCCUUACACAUGCAAGUCGAACGGCAGCACGGGAGCAAUCCUGGUGGCGAGUGGCGAACGGGUGAGUAAUACAUCGGAACGUGCCCAAUCGUGGGGGAUAACGCAGCGAAAGCUGUGCUAAUACCGCACACGAUCUACGGAUGAAAGCAGGGGAUCGCAAGACCUUGCGCGAAUGGAGCGGCCGACGGCAGAUUAGGUAGUUGGUGAGGUAAAGGCUCACCAAGCCGUCGAUCUGUAGCUGGUCUGAGAGGACGACCAGCCACACUGGGACUGAGACACGGCCCAGACUCCUACGGGAGGCAGCAGUGGGGAAUUUUGGACAAUGGGCGAAAGCCUGAUCCAGCCAUGCCGCGUGCAGGAUGAAGGCCUUCGGGUUGUAAACUGCUUUUGUACGGAACGAAACGGCCUUUUCUAAUAAAGAGGGCUAAUGACGGUACCGUAAGAAUAAGCACCGGCUAACUACGUGCCAGCAGCCGCGGUAAUACGUAGGGUGCAAGCGUUAAUCGGAAUUACUGGGCGUAAAGCGUGCGCAGGCGGUUAUGUAAGACAGUUGUGAAAUCCCCGGGCUCAACCUGGGAACUGCAUCUGUGACUGCAUAGCUGAGUACGGUAGAGGGGGAUGGAAUUCUCCCCUGUAGCCAGAAAUGCGUAGAAAUUCCGAGGGAACACCCCAUGGCAAAGCAAUCCCCUGGGC
rnacentral:rRNA from 1 species